rnacentral:rRNA from 1 species
UAGGGAAUCUUCCACAAUGGACGCAAGUCUGAUGGAGCAACGCCGCGUGAGUGAAGAAGGUUUUCGGACCGUAAAGCUCUGUUGUUGGUGAAGAAGGAUAGAGGCUAGUAACUGGCCUUUAUUUGACGGUAAUCAACCAGAAAGUCACGGCUAACUACGUGCCAGCAGCCGCGGUAAUACGUAGGUGGCAAGCGUUGUCCGGAUUUAUUGGGCGUAAAGCGAGCGCAGGCGGAAGAAUAAGUCUGAUGUGAAAGCCCUCGGCUUAACCGAGGAAUUGCAUCGGAAACUGUUUUCUUGAGUGCAGAAGAGGAGAGUAGAACUCCAUGUGUAGCGGUGGAAUGCGUAGAUAUAUGGAAGAAUACCAGUGGCGAAGGCGGCUCUCUGGUCUGCAACUGACGCUGAGGCUCGAAAGCAUGGGUAGCGAACAGGAUUAGAUACCCUGGCUACCAUGCCGUAAACGAUGAGUGCUAAGUGUUGGGAGGCUUCCGCCUCUCAGUGCUGCAGCUAACGCAUUAAGCACUCCGCCUGGGGGAGUACGACCGCAAGGUUGAAAC